rnacentral:rRNA from 1 species
AGAGUUUGAUCCUGGCUCAGAACGAACGCUGGCGGCGUGCCUCAUACAUGCAAGUCGAGCGAGAAAGCCCGCAAGGGUGAGUAAAGCGGCGCACGGGUGAGUAACACGUGGGUAACCUGCCCUCGAGACUGGGAUAACCCGGGGAAACCCGAGCUAAUACCAGAUACGGCCGCGAGGCCCUCGGACCUCGCGGAGAAAGACGGCCUCUACUUGUACGCUUUCACUCGAGGAUGAGCCCGCGUCCCAUUAGCUAGUUGGUGGGGUAAUGGCCCACCAAGGCAAAGAUGGGUAGCUGGUCUGAGAGGAUGGCCAGCCACACUGGAACUGAGAUACGGUCCAGACUCCUACGGGAGGCAGCAGUAGGGAAUUUUGGGCAAUGGGCGAAAGCCUGACCCAGCAACGCCGCGUGUGGGAUGAAGGCCCUCGGGUCGUAAACCACUGUCAGGAGGAAAGAACAGCCAGCCGGAUAACACUCGGCAGGUUUGACGGUACCUCCAAAGGAAGCGCCGGCUAACUCCGUGCCAGCAGCCGCGGUAAUACGGAGGGCGCAAGCGUUGUUCGGAAUUACUGGGCGUAAAGCGCGUGCAGGUGGCUGAGUAAGUCGAAUGUGAAAGCCCCGAGCUCAACUCGGGAACUGCAUCCGAAACUGCUCGGCUAGAGUCCCGGAGAGGAAGGCAGAAUUCCCAAUGUAGGGGUGAAAUCCGUAGAUAUUGGGAGGAAUACCGGUGGCGAACGCGGCCUUCUGGACGUGACUGACACUCAGACGCGAAAGCGUGGGGAGCAAACAGGAUUAGAUACCCUGGUAGUCCACGCCGUAAACGUUGCGGACUAGUGUCGCGGUAUUCACCCCUGCGUGCCGAAGCUAACGUCUUAAGUCCGCCGCCUGGGAAGUACGCCGCAAGGCUAAACUCAUA